rnacentral:lncRNA from 1 species
CUACAUGGCAUCUAGCUGGACUAUUUUUUAAGGGCAUUUUCGGCAUCUCAUGUCUUGGGUUUCGUUCCCAAAACAACACGUGGCCUCUGUAAUUCAAAAAACCCCCAAAUUGAGUUCCAGAUCUAAGCCCCCGCUUAGACCUAAGCCUCAAAUCGACAGAAGUGGUUGCCCAGGUUCCAAUUCGAAGAAGACAAAGACGAUGAUGUUUGCAAAUCGAAGAUGCGAAGUGGGCUAGCCCAUU